rnacentral:rRNA from 1 species
UACGUAGGGUGCAAGCGUUGUCCAGAAUUACUGGGCGUAAAGAGCUCGUAGGCGGUUUGUCGCGUCGUCUGUGAAAUCCCGCAGCUCAACUGCGGGCUUGCAGGCGAUACGGGCAGACUUGAGUACUGCAGGGGAGACUGGAAUUCCUGGUGUAGCGGUGAAAUGCGCAGAUAUCUGGAGGAAUACCCAUAGCGAAGGCAGCUCGCUGGGACGUUACUGACGCUGGGACGGCGA